GUAGAGAAAUGAACAUUCAAUUCACGGGCAACAGCUCUGGUGGACAUUCCUGCAGUCAGCAUGCCAACUGCACUCUCCCUCAAAACGUGUGACAUCUGCCGCAUUGUGUUCUGGCAUUUUGAACCAG